UAUUUUUCCUUCAGCAAUUCAUAUACAUUAAGACUUCUGUCUUAUCCAUUUGUAGAUGGAGCUUCAACAGCAGCUAGGUCUAGAGGGAAGUUGUGAGCAUUACGUUCAUGCAUUACUUCCAUACCAAGGUUAGCACGAUUGAUGAUAUCAGCCCAAGUGUUAAUAACACGACCCUGACUGUCAACUACUGAUUGGUUGAAAUUGAAACCAUUUAGGUUGAAAGCCAUAGUACUAAUACCUAAAGAAGUGAACCAGAUACCUACUACAGGCCAAGCAGCCAAGAAGAAAUGUAAAGAACGAGAAUUGUUGAAACUAGCAUAUUGGAAGAUUAAUCGGCCAAAAUAACCAUGAGCAGCUACAAUAUUAUAAGUUUCUCCCUCUUGACCGAAUCUGUAACCUUCAUUAGCAGACUCGUUUUCAGUGGUUUCCCUGAUCAAACUAGAGGUUACCAAGGAACCAUGCAUAGCACUGAAUAGGGAGCCGCCGAAUACACCAGCUACACCUAACAUGUGAAAUGGAUGCAUAAGGAUGUUGUGCUCUGCCUGGAAUACAAUCAUAAAGUUGAAAGUACCAGAGAUUCCUAAAGGCAUACCAUCAGAGAAACUUCCUUGACCAAUAGGGUAGAUCAAGAAAACAGCAGUAGCAGCUGCAACAGGAGCUGAAUAUGCAACAGCAAUCCAAGGACGCAUACCCAGACGGAAACUAAGUUCCCACUCACGACCCAUGUAACAAGCUACACCAAGUAAGAAGUGUAGAACAAUUAGCUCAUAAGGACCGCCAUUGUAUAACCACUCAUCAACAGAUGCUGCUUCCCAGAUUGGGUAAAAAUGCAAACCUAUAGCUGCAGAAGUCGGAAUAAUGGCACCAGAGAUAAUAUUGUUUCCAUAAAGUAAAGAACCAGAAACAGGUUCGCGAAUACCAUCAAUAUCUACUGGAGGAGCAGCAAUGAAGGCGAUAAUAAAUACAGAAGUUGCGGUCAAUAAGGUAGGGAUCAUCAAAACACCGAACCAUCCAAUGUAAAGACGAUUUUCAGUGCUGGUUAUCCAGUUGCAGAAGCGACCCCAUAGGCUUGUACUUUCGCGUCUCUCUAAAAUUGCAGUCAUGAUAAGAUCUUGGUUUAUUCAAUUUUCAAGGACUCCCAAGCACACGUAUUAACUAUAACUAGAUAGAGAUGUGAUAGAUAAUAGAAGGCUUGUUAUUUAACAGUAUAACAUGGCUUAUACACCAAUGUCAACCAAUCUUAACAACUAUAUAUCUAUAUGAUUAAAUCCAGCAAAAGAAUUUGUAAAUGAAAUGAGUUCAAAUAGAAAAAGAAAGAUUUUUUUCUAUUUUCCAUAUGGGUUGCCCGGGACUCGAACCCGGAACUAGUCGGAUGGAGUAGAUAAUUUUUCCUUGUUGCAAUAAAGGAAAAAGAUCCCUCCCCAAACCGUGCUUGCAUUUUUCAUUGCACACGACUUUCCCUAUGUAUACAUAUCAAAUUUACAUCCCGAGAAGAAAGUCUACGAAUUUUGACUACUCAGUUGAUUCAACCACUAAACCACUUCAUGAGCAUUUCAGAAUAGAGAUUUUGGAAUUUUUUCUGUCUUGAUAUUUAGAGAUCUAUUCUCUAUAUGGGUCUCAUGACCAAUUAUCAAUGAUUCACCAGGUUAUUGAUACGGAUAAUAUCCAAAUACCAAAUACGUUCUCGACGUGAUCCAUGUAAAGAAAAAGGGGUUGGUUUGGGGAAGAUCAAAGAAAGAACUUGUUCUUCUUCCGUAAAAAAUUCUUCUAAUAAUGCCGAACCUAAUCUCCGCAAAAAAGAGCGUACCGUACUCUUAUGUUUACGAGCUAAAGUUCUAGCACACGAAAGUCUAAGUAUAUACUUUAUUCGAUACAAACUCCGUUUUUCGGAGGAUCCACUAUGAUAAUGAGAAAGAUUUCUACAUAUCCGACCAAAUCGAUCAAUAAUAUCACAAUCUGAUAAAUCGGUCCAGAUCGGCUUACUAAUAGGAUGUCCCGAUACGGUACAAAAUUUAGCUUUAGACAAUGAUCCAAUGAGAGGAAUAACUGGGACUAUGGUAUCGAAUUUCUUAAUACCAGUUUCUAUUAGAAAUGAAUUCUCCAACAUUUGAUUCCUUACCACCAAAGGAUUUCUUAGUACACUUGAAAGAUAACCCAGAAAAUAGAAGGAAUAGUUUGAUAAUUGGUUUAUAUGAAUCCUGUGUGGUUGAGACCAAAAAUGAAAAUAAUAUUGCCAGAGAUUGACAAGGUAACAUUUCCACUUCUUCAUCAAAAGAUGAGUCCCUUUUGAAGCCAGAAUUGCUUUUCCUUGAUAUCGAACAUAAUGCAUGAAAGGAUCCGUGAAGAACCAUAAAGUUUUCUGAAAAUAAUUACGGUACACUACUAUAAGAUGUUCUAUUUUUCCAUAGAACUGUAUUCGCUCAAGAAAGGUUCCAGAAGAUGUUAAUCGUAAAUAAGAAGAUUGUUUACGAAGAAAAACGAAUACAAAUUCGCAUUCAGAUACAUAAGAAUUAUAUAGGAACCAAAAUAGUCUUUUAUUUUCUUUUGAAAAAACGUAAAUUGAUUUCUUCGGAGUAAUGAGACUAUUCCAAUUAUGAUAUUCGUGGAGAAAGAAUCGCAAUAAAUGCAAAGAUGGAACAUCUUGGAUCCGGCAUUGAAGGAUUUGAACCAAGAUUUCCAAAUGGAUAGGAUAGGGUAUUAGUAUAUCUGACACAUAAUUUAAAUGUGAUAAUUUGUCCUCUAAAAAGGGAAAUAUUGAAUGAAUAGAUCGUAAAUUCUGACAUUUUGGUAUUUCUUUUUCUUCGGGAAAAGAUACUAAUCGCAGCGAGAAUGGAAUUUCCACAAUGAUCGCAAAACCUUCUGAUAUCAUCUGAGAAAAAAAAUGAGAAUAAAAAUAAGUGUUGUGCCCAACGAAUCGAUUUUGGUUAGAAUAAUUAACCGAAUUAAUCAAAUAAUUCUGUUGAUACAUUCGAAUAAUUAAACGUUUCACAAGUACUGAACUAGAUUUUUUGUCAUAACCAAUAAUUUCCACGGGUUCGUAAAAAAUCGAAUCAUUUAAACCAUGAUCAUGAGCAAACGCGUAAAUAUACUCCUGAAAAAGAAGCGGAUAUAGGAAGUGUUGUUGCCGAGAUCUAUCUUUUUCUAAAUAUCCUUGUAAUUCUUCCAUUUACAUUUCUACUUGAGCCAGAGGCAGGAGGUUUUUCUUGGUUUAUCAAAUGAUACAUACAUAGUGCAAUAUGGUCAGAACAGGGUAUUAUGUAUUGUAUUAUGUAUAUACUAUAGUAAGAAAAAAAUAUAUACCCCGGAAACAAAACAGGGAGUCCAAUCAACAGAUCUUUUUACCUUCCUUUUCUAUCCAAUUGGUUUAUGUUCGUUAUAAUUACAACAGGAGAAAAAAUCCUUUAUUUUUGCAACCCAAUUGCUCUUUUGACUUUGGAAUAAAUUCUCUUUAUCAAUAUACUGUUUCUUCUACACAUCCGCCUACAAUCCAUAAUAAAGAAUAAUUAGGAUUCUGAAAAAAAAAGAAAAAAUCAAUGGUUCACUCACAGGAGAACCCACUCUUUCCCGCAUUAGGCACUAAUUCAUUUUUAACGUCUAAUUAGAUCGGGUAAUCAUUCCAAUUAAGAACAUAAGCUCGUUGCUUUUUAUUUUACCAAAAUUGGAGCCAUAGAGCUCUAUCCAUUUAUUCACUAGACCCAAUUUGUCCCCUUCCUAAAAUCAAAACAAUCUUUUGGAACUGUAACGAUCCGGUAAGGAUAAACUCAAAGUUCUACUUUAACUUUGACUUUCAUUUCAAAUUAAAUAAAUUAAUAAAAUCAAAAUUAAAUAAAAUAAUAAAUUAAUAAAAUAAGAAAUUGAUUUUAUUACGACAUGCUGUUUUUUCCAUUCAUUACCCUUGAGGAUCAGUCGUGGUCUUAUAGACUAUACCAAUAGUCUGGACGAAUUCGUUGCUUCAUCCAAAUGUGUAAAAGAUCAUAGUCGCACUUAAAAGCCGAGUACUCUACCGUUGAGUUAGCAACCCGGAUAAAUAGGAUAUGUAGAUACGAUCGAAAUACAAAAAUCAAUAGAAUUGCACCGCACGACCCUAUCAAAACAUUGAACUAGCAACACAUCGAAAAGAAAGAUUUUCUGAUCAAUUAUAAACACAAAAUACCAAAAUGAGCAGAUCGGAUUAAAAAUAUUCCCAAUCGAAAUGUAAAAAUUAUGACAGACCACCCAUUUUUUAUCAAAUUCUUUUUGGAUUUUACUUAAGAAAAUACAUCUUGUAUGAGAGUAAAUGCAGCAAGGCAAACCCAUCAUUUGAGUGAAGGAAACAAAAAAACCAAUAUGGGGUGGGGAUAAACAGCCCUCUUUAUCUACGAUCGAAUUAUAUUUGUUCGAUACACCAUUGUCAAUAUAAAUGCAAUGUUGAGAAAAUAAAUCAAGUAAAUAAAAUAAAGACUUGUGUUGGAUUGGCACAACAUAAACAUAAAUAAGAAAUUGAAAUGGAAAAAAUUAAGGAAAAGGUAAAGAAAAAAUCCCCGGUUUAUUCAAUCAAUAAAAGUACGAUAAGCAAGCUUAACCCCUUGUUUGUUGUUAAAUUCAAUUCCCCCACCAAAAUAUGAAUAAAGCAAGAAAAAGGCAAAUGGUGUGUAAAUAUAAAUAAUUACACAAGGAUAGAUACUAGUUACCCUUCCCUACUUUAUUUUAUUUAUUUAUUUUGUUUUUUACUUUAAUUAACUCGAAGUUCUUUCUUUAAAGAAUUCUGCCUUCCUUAAAAUAUCAUAAACAGUUCCUGUAGGUUGAGCACCUUUUUCAAAGAAAUAUAGAAUAGCAGGAACGUUUAAAUAAGUUUGAUUCUUUAUCGGAUCGUAAAAACCCACUUUUCGAAGAUCUCUUCCUUCUCUUCUGGAUCGAACAUCAAUUGCAACGAUUCGAUAGAUGGCUCAUUGGGAUAGAUGUAAAUAAACAACGCCCCCCCUAGAAACGUAUAGGAGGUUUUUUCCUCAUACGGCUCGAGAAAAAUGAUUCUAAUUUCUGUAUAUAAUAGCAAGUGGAUCCAUAAAAUCAUGAAUUUGACUAUGAUUUGAAUUUAGUACUUUUUUCUUCUUCCUUACAGAAAAAGGAAGAAAUCUCAUUCAUACUCAUAACUCAAGUUGGGUAAUUCUGACAAGAAAAUCCUUAGACAUUUAUUGAGCCGUCUCUAAACUCUUUUGUUUGUCUCAUUUCGAAUCUAUUUUUAUUCCUCAGUCUGAUCCAAUUGUUGAGACAAUUGAAAAUAGUGUUUCCUUGUUUCGGAAUCCUUUAUCUUCGCUUUGUGAAAUCAUUGGGUUUAGACAUUACCUCGGGGAUCCUUAUUCCUUUCAAAAUGGCAGCAACAUACCUUUUUUUGUUAUUUCUUUCUAUAUAAAUAGAAUACGAACGAUUGAUUCCCUUGUGAUACACUUUUCAUCGAAAUAGUUUUACCAAUUUCGAAAAAUUGGACUUUGCAAACUUGUUCUGAAUUUGAACCUUUCAAUUUAGAAUUUAUAUAUAGUGAGGAUAUACUUACAAAGUUGGUCUAACUUAUUGAUUUUCACUAACCCUAGAUUCUUUCCCUUGAAAAAUGAAUCAAUCUUUUCUUCUCGAGCUUCAUAAUGUACUAUUUACUUAUAACCCAACACAAAUUAGGUUCCGGGCAGAACAAACUAUGUCGAGCCAAGAGCAUCUUCAUUACUAUAGAAGACGGCGGAUGUCAAAAUCCACAGCCGAUCAUGUCCUUCAAGUCGCACGUUGCUUUCUACCACAUCGUUUCAAACGAAGUUUUACCAUAACAUUCCUCUAAUUGAAAUUUCAAAGCGGUAUGGAAUUGAUUCAAUAUAAAAUCAUGAAUAGUCAUUGGUUCAACCGGUAUAUAAUAGUCCAUACUUUCUAUCUACGGUACGGAUAAAUAAGUAUUUAUCCGGAUAAGGGUCAGCAAGGAUCGAAUUUAUUUAAUUUAACCCCAUAUUCUAUCAUAUGAAUGAAAAUAUUUAUUUAUAUUUAUAAAUAAGACGAAUAAACGAGUUUGCUUAAGACUUAUUAUUUACAUCUUCAACAGAUUGUUCGAGACGAUCAAUCAUGAAGGAUCCAGUUUUCUCGAACAAAUAAACUAUAAACCUCCAAAAGAGGUUUCUAUAGUAGAAUACUAAUGAUUUCCAAUCCCGAAAUCAAAUCAAUUAGUAACCAAAAAAGCUAUUCCAAUGACCCGAAAAAGUCGAAAUUUUGAUAAUAUAGAUUUCUCAUACUUCUUCCAGUACCAAUUCCGGUACCAAUCAAAAAAAAAUGAAGUAAAAAAGAAAAACGAUCUCGUGUAAGGUAAAAUUGGGUUCCUUACAUUAUUGUUAUUCUUUCUUUCAUCUGAAAGAGAAAAUCUGAAUCAAGAAUCAGAGAAGUAUGAUCUUUUCGGAUCCAUCAUAUACAACUAAGAGUUCUUACCUUAGCCGGGGUAAUUCUAAUUAUAGAUAUUUUAAAAAUCACAGAUCCUUUUCACUUAACCGAAAAGCCCUUGUUACUGAAAUACAACAAUACAAUAAAAAUACAUAAUAUAUAUCAUAUAGGCAUAGGCCUUGUUUUUUAUACAGAUUUUGUUUUACUUCUUCAAGAAUUUUUCGAUCAAUUCUAAAGUCAAGUAGAUGGAAUAUACGAAUUUCUCCCCAAUCACUACAUUACAUUGAUUUACAAUGGUUCAUUUGAACCAGCUAAUAUCUAAGAUACAAAAAAAUAAGGUCCAGAUCAAUCCGUUUUUCCUAUUUUUUUUUCCGCGCAAACCCAACUUUAAUUAGAAGUUUUAAGACCUGUGAUGAAAUUCAAAACUCCCCACUCUUUAAUCUCUACAUUCUAUGUGGAAUUGGGCGGGAUACCAUUUAUUUUCUUUUUAUUGACUAUAGAGAGGUCUUUCUCUCACAUUGUGAUUCAGAAUGCAUCAUGUGAUAAUUCCCAUUUCAUAGGUAUUAGAUAUGGGACAUAAAGUUUCUCUAAGGAACUAACUUCAAAAUGAAUAUGAAAUGAAUAUGAGUAGUACGAGCAUAUCCUGAAUGUUUAUGAUAUAAUAGACCAAAAAUCUCUUUUUUGAAUGAAAAUAAAGAUAUUGAAUUUUACCCACAUUUGACACUUGAUUCCGUUUGUGAGAAACCAAACGAAUUCUCAGAUAUGAUUCUUAGAACCAUUCUGAAAAUUAAUAAGAAAAGAUUUUUCCCUUUAACAAAUUCUUGUUUCAUGUGGAAUGCAGUGUGAUCCCAUCUUUCGUUUCAUGAAGGACGAUCUGGGACGGAAGGAUUCGAACCUCCGAAUAACGGGACCAAAACCCGCUGCCUUACCGCUUGGCCACGCCCCAUUUUGAUUUCUAUUCGAUACUAAUCAACACUAAUAUUGGUAUUGGUUAUUCGUCAAUCUCAACCCAAAUACAUAAAAACAUAUGGGAUAUUUUGUUGCUAGGAUUCAAGACAUGUAGAUAUAGAAUCAAAAAAAUUCAUUGAUCAUUACAUAGAAUUCAAUUAAGAUAUUGUAUGAAAGUUGAAUUCCUUAUAUUAUCAUUUUAGAAUGAUAAUGGGGGGAGGGAUUUUUUAUUUGGGAGAGUCCGAACCGAAGAAAAAGGAGGAUUUCUUGAUCUGCCUUUUUCAUUUUUCCCUUAUAAAAAUAACUCAAAAUUAUCUAAUCCACAAGAACGAAAUGCUUGUUAUGCUUAAUAUCUUUAGUUUAAUCGGUAUCUGUCUUAAUUCUGUCCUUUAUUCGAGUAGUUUUUUCUUCGCCAAAUUGCCCGAAGCUUAUGCCAUUUUCAAUCCAAUCGUAGAUGUUAUGCCUGUCAUACCUGUACUCUUUUUUCUCUUAGCCUUUGUUUGGCAAGCCGCUGUAAGUUUUCGAUGAAAUCUUUAAUACUCUGCUAAAUUGAUGAUGUAUUCGAUAAAAAAAUUCUAAAAAUUGAUAAGAUCAGAUAAGUCUUACAUUACGAACCCUCGAUUCAAAAAUCUAAAUUCUUGUAUAUUGAAUGAAUAACCGCAGCGAUGAAUUUGGAUCAGCCUUUUCCCCGUUCUGACCUUCCAGUGAGUAUGGACUAUUAGGUACUCCACAAUACCUAAUUAUUGAUAUGACAAGAAAUUUCGGUUAACGAAUGAAUAAAAAUCUUAUUACAAAUAAAUUCGUUAAAAUAAAAUGACUUUUCAAGAAAAGACUUCAUUUUAUUUUUCAUUUUUCGGGGUGUCAAAACAAAUAAAAUAAAAUGGUAUAUGUGGUAAAAAAUAGGUAAUCUAUUCCCCUUUUUCAAAAAAAAAAAAUGAUCUUGGAGAUUGUGUAAUGCUUACUCUCAAACUCUUUGUUUACACAGUAGUGAUAUUCUUUGUUUCCCUUUUUAUCUUUGGAUUCUUAUCUAAUGAUCCAGGACGCAAUCCUGGACGUGAGGAAUAAAAAAUUUCUAGUUUUUUUGCUUUUUUCUAAAUUAAUUCUUAAUAAUCUUAUUUGUUUCAUACAUUUAACUAUGAUAAAAUCAAGUUAUGAGAAUCUUUUCAAAUUCGAAAAUCCCAAGUGAUCAGAGAAAGCGGAAAGAGAGGGAUUCGAACCCUCGGUACAAAUAAUUCGUACAACGGAUUAGCAAUCCGCCGCUUUAGUCCACUCAGCCAUCUCUCCUAAUUCCAAAUUGAAAAUUUGUUAUGUGAUGUAACACGUGAAAUAAAGAUUGAGAAAAAUCCACCUUCUUUUCUUUAUUUUAUUUUUUCAUUUUAUUUAUUUAUUUUUAUUUAAUCUUAUUUAACUUUAAUAUUAUUAUUUAAUUAUUAUUAUUUAUUUUAUUACAUUAUUCUAUUUUAAUAAUAGAAUUUAUUAUUAUAUUAUUAAUAUAGAAAUUGGAAAUAUUCUAAAAUAUUCUAAUAAAUAAUAGAAAUUAUUUAAAUAGUUAUUUAAAUUUAAACUUAAACAAAGUAUUUAAUAUUUAAAUAAAAUAAAAAGGAAGGUAUAUAUUUAUACUAAAUAAAAAUAUAUAUAUAUAUAUAAAUAUAUUAUAGUAUAAAUUGUAUAAGAAAAUAUGUAUAAGAAAAUAAAUAUAAGAAAAAUAAGAAAAAGAUAGAAAAAAGCAAUUGAUCAGGAAUUUAAUAUAGAUAAUGACUCAAAAUGGAUCUCCUCAAUAGAAAGAAUAUCUUAGUUCUUUGAUUUUAUACGAAAGGUUUAUUCUCCCGGCCUGAUCCGCUUAAGUACUGGCCGGGACAUUUAUUCUUUUAUUCCAAUGAAUCCUUCAUAGAUCAAACGAUUAAAUUUGGAAUUUAUAUCAAUCAAAAAUACUUGUUAUUGAAGCAACAACAACAAGAGAAAUUUCCAUUAUCAUUCCUAUGAUCGAAGUCCCAUUUAUUAUUAUUUAAUUUAAUAUUUCUUUUUUAUUCUUCUUUUUUUUUAUUGAAGAUUCUUUUUUUCUUUUUCUCAGUUUAUUACUUAAUUUCUUACUGUUGUCAAGUAAGGAAUAAAAAAACACAUAUGAUAACAUAUCAUAUAUAUAUACAUUAAACAAUAUUAAAUUACAUUUAACAAUUUUAAAUAUUUAAAAUAUUUCUAUUCUAACAUAUUUCUAUUCUAAUAGAAUAGAACUCAAUAUAACUCAUUUACUUCUUCAAGAGACAAAAUUGGAACAGUUGAGAUUCAAUUGACCCGAAUUCAUAAGAUCUGGCACUGGCAGUUGAAAAGAAGGUGAAAAAAGGGGGGUCCAUGUAUACAGAAUUUCGAAUUUUUAUAGUCUAGCUUCAAUCACCCCUUCAGGCGGGAACCAUUAGUUUAGUAAUGACUUCCCAGCAAACGAAAAGCUUACCUUUUUAUGUUAUGCUAUUUAAAUUUAAUUAUGUUAUUUAAAUAAGCUUUCCGCUCUUCGCUUAGCUUCUUUUUAUUUUUAUUUUAUUUAAGUCCCCGGCGAGACAAAAUACGUGUCAACGCUAGAAUUUUCACGAUUCUGAUGCUAUCUUGAUUUUGUCUCACCCCUUUUUUUGUUCGACAAAUGAUCCAUUCGUAUACAAUAAUGAAUAUGUAGCGGGUAUAGUUUAGUGGUAAAAGUGUGAUUCGUUCUAUUAACAACUUAAAUAGUUAAGGGGUCCAUCGGUUUUUUUUUUCAAACUCCGAUCAAAAACUUUAUUUCUUAAAAAGGUUUAAUCCUUUUCCUCUCAAUAGCAUAUUUGAGGAAAAAUAUACGUUCUCACGAUUUGUAUCCAAAGGCCAAUUAGGAAUUGCAUCAAAAAAUUGGAUUAUGGAUAUGGAUUCGCGAAGCAUAAUUUUUUGAAUUGGAUUAACUAUUCCAAUUGAAUAAGUAUAGGUAAAGGGUCUAUGGAUGAAGAUACAAAAGUUUAUUUCCAAUCGUAACUAGAUCUUCCAUUUUUGUGUUGUAAAAGGAAAUUGAAGCCAAAUAGCUAAAAAACGAUAGUUUUGGUUUACUAGAACCAUCAGCAUAUUGUUUCAGCUCGGUAGAAACCAAAUUCUUUUCCUGAGGAUCCUGGGAGUGAAAAUAGGGAACGAAGUAACUAGACUAGAUAGAUUUGGUAUAAUCUCUCUCCUCUAGAGGGAUCAUCUAGAAAGCGAGUAGCUUUAGAUGCAUUCAUACAGAAAAGCUGACAUAGAUGUUAUGGAUCUAAUUUUUUCUCUGGAAAUAUAUGGACCUUCCAUAAAGGAGCCGAAUGAAACCAAAAUUUCAUGUUCGGUUUUGAAUUAGAGACGUUAAAAAUGAUCAACCAACGUCGACUAUAACCCCUAGCCUUCCAAGCUAACGAUGCGGGUUCGAUUCCCGCUACCCGCUCCAUAUUCAUUAUUGUAUAUGCGUCAUCAAUUUGGAUAUGCAUCCUUUUUUCCCGAAAAGAUAUAUUUUCCAUAUAAUCGUUUUUUAUUUGAACAAGAGUAAAGUAAGAAUACGAAAGAAGAAAAUAGAAAUGAAAAGCGUCCAUUGUCUAAUGGAUAGGACAGAGGUCUUCUAAACCUUUGGUAUAGGUUCAAAUCCUAUUGGACGCAAUUUUUUUUCCAUCUAUUUUCUUAAAUGUCUAUACUAAGAAACCCUUUUUGAAUGAUUCAAAUCAGAAAUUUUUCUCAAUGAUUACUCUCAUGCUAAGAAUAAGUAUGAUAAAUUUAUGGUUGUUCCUGAAGUAGAAAUAGUUCGAUCUGUUCCUGAAUAGCUUCCUUCAAAACGGCUUCUGCUUGCUCGGUGAAUGUCUUGGUAGAAGAUAGAAUUUCUUGGAAUUGAGGUUUAUUCUUUUUUAAGUAAGUACGUAACUGAACAAGAAAUUUCUUUACCUGUCCAAUUUCUAACGGAUCAAGAUAUCCAUUCGCUCCGGUAUAAAUAGUAGCUAUCUGCUCUUCCACCGUGAGAGGGUCUGAUUGGGAUUGUUUAAGCAACUCACGUAAUCGUUGACCUCUUGCCAAUUGAUUCUGAGUAGCUUUAUCGAGAUCAGAAGCAAAUUGUGCAAAGGCUUCUAACUCUGCGAAUUGCGCUAGUUCCAAUUUUGAUUUGCCAGCUACCUGUUUCAUGGCUUUAAUUUGAGCUGCGGAUCCUACUCUGGAAACAGAAAUACCCACAUUAAUAGCAGGUCGGAUUCCAGCAUUGAAUAGAUCGGCGGAUAAGAAUAUUUGUCCAUCUGUAAUGGAAAUUACAUUAGUAGGAAUAUAAGCUGAAACGUCUCCAGAUUGAGUCUCAACUAUUGGUAAAGCAGUCAUACUUCCUUCACCUAAACUAGAACUUGAUUUAGCGGCUCUUUCCAAAAGGCGUGAAUGCAAAUAAAAAACAUCUCCUGGAUAAGCUUCACGACCGGGAGGUCUUCUUAAUAGAAGAGACAUUUGGCGAUAAGCUUGUGCCUGUUUGGAGAGAUCAUCAUAAAUUAUUAAAGUAUGUCGUUCACGGUACAUAAAAUAUUCAGCCAAAGCUGCUCCCGUAUAAGGGGCGAGGUAUUGUAAUGUAGCAGGUGAAUCCGCCGUUUCAGCUACGACAAUAGUGUAUUCCAUGGCCCCUCGCUCCUGGAAAGUAGUCACUACCUGAGCCACAGAAGAUGCUUUUUGACCGAUAGCUACAUAAACACAUAUUACAUUUUGCCCUUUUUGAUUGAGAAUCGUAUCUGUGGCUACUGCUGUUUUGCCGGUCUGUCUGUCCCCAAUAAUUAAUUCUCGCUGACCGCGUCCUAUAGGGAUCAUCGAAUCAAUAGCAAUAAGCCCUGUUUGAAGGGGCUCAUAUACAGAACGUCUCGAAAUAAUACCGGGGGCAGGGGAUUCAAUUAACCGAGAUUCAGAAGCUGAAAUUUCCCCUCUCCCAUCAAUAGGUGUAGCCAAAGCAUUUAUAACACGACCCAAAUAAGCCUCACUCACAGGUAUCUGAGCAAUUCUUCCUGUUGCUUUUACAGAACUUCCCUCUUGUAUCAUCAAACCAUCACCCAUUAAUACAACGCCAACAUUAUUGGAUUCCAAGUUCAGAGCAAUGCCUAUUGUACCCUCUUCAAAUUCUACUAAUUCACCUGCCAUUACUUCAUCAAGACCAUGAAUACGAGCAAUGCCGUCGCCUACUUGAAGUACGGUACCGGUAUUCACAAUCUUUACUUCUCUAUUAUAUUGUUCAAUACGUUCACGGAUAAUAUUACUAAUUUCGUCGGCUCGAAGGGUUACCAUUAGUGUUUCUUUAUUCUUUUUCGGAAGCAAAGGGAAAAAAAUAAUGCCUAAAUUGUAAACUAAAGUAAAAGUGGAAGGGCUAAUCAGUUAUUUCUUCCAUGGCCCCAAGAAUGCCAAUAUUAGUACGGAUCGCACGGAAAUGUAACUCGGUAUUCAAACAACUAUUCAGAGUUCCUAGAGCUCCUUGUAAGGCUUGUUGGAAAACUCGUUGUCGGACUUGAUUUAUCGCUCUUUGUUGUUCAAAAUGAAGGGUUUCAUUUUUGUAAUUUUCUAAUCGUUCCAAACUAUCACAAGUAGCUUUAAUCAAAUUUUCUUUUUCUCGUUCUAUCUCAGAGUAUCCAUUCAUUCGAUACUCAUCUGCUUCCAGUUCCACUUUCUGUAAGCGAACCCGGGCUUUUUCGAGCUGCUCAAUGGCCCCUCUACGUAAUUCUUCUGAAUUUCGAAUAGUACUCAAGAUCCUCUGUUUUCGAUUAUCUAAUAAAUCAUUUAAUGAAAGUAGAUUAUCUUACCAUUAAUUUCACAACUUUCAUGAUCUCUUCCCGAACCAAACAUGAAUCUUUCGAUUCAUUUGGCUCUCACGCUCAAUUAUUUAUUUGAUUUUUUUGUUAUGGGUAUUCCCAUAUCUUUUUUUUUUAAUGUAAUGAGCCUGCCCUCUCUUUUCUUUUCUGUUUGUAUUCAAAGAUAUCUAAACUGAUACAAGACCAGAAUAAAUAUUAGGAGGACUCUUCCGACCAGAUAAAAAUCGAUAAUUGUCAGCAAAGUUGUUUCUUUAUUUGUAUUUGUUCUUAAUUUAAUUAAAUUUUCUUUUUAUUUAAUUAAAUAAAUUUAAAAAAUUUCUAAUUUGGAAUUAGAUUUUUUCUUUUUUUCUUCAAAUCCAAAAAUUCCUCUUUUUUUAUACAUAGGUCGUCGAUUCGGCAUUGGAUAAAAAAGGCAGAGUGCCCUUUUCUUUCUAGUAAAUGGUUCAAAUCCUUUUAUCGAUAUGAGUGUUCUAUAUCAGAUAAAUUACCAACUAUUCAUUUGGAAAACAUUUCAGUACUAAUGUAGUCGUAGAAAGAGUACCAUGUUUUGCCUGGACUUCAAACAGUUUAGCUUUAACCAUGUUAAUGGUCUCACAUUAUUGGUUGAUAGAGAAUCAAAGUUGAUUUACCAAUAAGUCACGAAAUGCUAUGGUUCUUACAUAUGAUUUUUGAAUUUAUUCAGAAGUAAUUCGUCGAGAUCGUGCACCUUUUUUCCUAUUUAUCCUAAAUAUACUAUAACUAUAAAUAACUAUAAAUAAAGUAAAGUGCAGCCGGAUGGAUCCAACCUAUUCUUGAAAUACACAACCCGCACACACUCCCUUUCCAAAAAAAAUCAAUACACCAAUCACUACACUUAGAUUUAUUGGAUUUGUUGCUAAAAUAUCGGUAUUAAACCCGAAACUCCCGGCGGAUGGCCAGUGGCGUGAGAAAACGAAAGAAUCGGUUACAUUUUUCAUAUGCUCUCCUCUUAUAGAUAGGACUGACAAAGAACAAAGUUCUUUUUCUAUCACUUCGCUCGCCCCUUUCUUUUUUGAUCAAUUUAUUUAUUUUUAAUUGAAUUUCCCCCUUUUUAAUGGGAAUAGAUUAAAUCUAGUAAUUUCAUUUAGGUUAGGUCUUAGGUCUCAUUUCAAUUGCGAAAUAUAUCGUUUGUGGAAACGUUUCCUAAAAGGAAAAAAGUUUCCAUUGUACUAAGCUAAGGACGGGAAGGAAGAAAGCGAGUGAUCUGGUAAUUCCUCAUCCUCAAAGCAGUCCUUCCUGGAGUCUCAACAAAUAAGUAAUUAUAGGAGUAAAGUGUUGAUAUAAUUCGAAGAAGGAAACGGCAAUUUAAUUUCAAGUUAAUAAAAUAAGAAAAAAAGUAAAAAGAGUAUGUAAUCUAAGGUACUUUUUUACAUUUCUAGGAUUAAACAAAAGGAUUCGCAAAUAAAAGCGCUAAUGCCACAACCAGUCCGUAAAUUGUUAAAGCUUCCAUAAAAGCUAGACUAAGCAAUAAAGUACCUCGUAUUUUACCCUCUGCUUCUGGUUGUCUCGCAAUACCCUCUACAGCUUGGCCUGCAGCAGUACCUUGACCAACUCCAGGUCCAAUAGAAGCAAGUCCUACAGCCAAUCCAGCAGCAAUAACGGAAGCGGCAGAAAUCAGUGGAUUCAUGGUAAGUUCCUCGCACCAAAAAAAAGAAAAAGAAAUGGUUAAUGAUACAAUCGACCAAUGAAUUAUUACUUAAUUUUAUCAUUAAGUUUGAUCAUUAAGAUCUAUUGGGUCGAAGUAACUAAAAACUAAUGAUAAUAUUACUGACUCGUCAGAACUACUUCGAUAUCUCGUUUUUAGUUUCUACCCAUGAUGAAGUUUUUGUAAAUCCAUAUACAUACGGUUCUAGUUAUUGCAUUUCUUUCUUUCCAACCAUUCUUUCAUUCAAUCCUUCGUUCUUUACUCUUCUAUAUCCUUGAGUUCAUCUGUUUUUUCAUCCAAUCCACAAUCACAAAUGAAACAGAAGAAAGGACUUGACUUAUCUUGUAAUCCAUCUAAUCUAAAUGCAGUAAACUGCAAUCAAAUCAAUAUAUGCAAUCAUCAAUAUAUGCAAUGGAUAUCAAUAUGAUCGAUAUCAACGAUAUCAAUAUAUCAAUAUAACGAUAUCAAUAUGUAUAUCAAUACAUAUAUAUAUAUUUUUUAUUUUGCUAUAACUAACUAUAUAUAUAUAUUAUAUAUGUAUAGCAUAUAGUUAGAUAUAUAUAGUUAGUUAGUAUAUAGGUAGGGUAUAAGGUAGGGUAUAAGGACUUAUAUUUAUAUAUAGAUAGGACUAUAUAACUAGUGAAUAUCUAAUAUUGCAUAUACAUAUUACAUAUACAUUUCUUUCUUCCAUAACGUAAACUGGCCGCAUUUUAUAUUGAAUCGGAUUAUAGAAUCAUUCCUUGAAACCCACACAAAAAGUGGCUGGACUUAUAGACAUUACAUACAUCUAGUGUGACCUCCCCAACCCAUUUUUUUUUUUUACAAUUCCGUAAUAUCGUUCAUCUUCUCUCCUACGACUCUAGGUCAUAUCUUCAUACGUAUUUAUAUCUAUUAUGUUCUCCAACCAAGCAGAUUAUCUUGAACCAUGCAUGAAUUGGGAUAAGCUAAAAAAAAAGACUAUUUCGAAAACUAGUCAAUGAUGACCCUCCAUGGAUUCGCCUAUAUAAGCCGCGGCCAACGUUGCAAAAAUAAGAGCUUGAAUACCACUUGUAAAUAAUCCAAGAAACAUGACAGGUAUAGGAACUACUGAAGGGACUAAAGAAACAAGAACAACAACUACUAAUUCAUCAGCCAAUAUAUUCCCGAAUAGUCGAAAGCUAAGAGAUAAAGGUUUUGUGAAAUCUUCUAGGAUGUUAAUUGGUAAAAGUAUUGGAGUUGGUUUGAUGUAUUUCUCGAAAUAACCCAAUCCUUUUUUGGUAAGACCCGCAUAAAAAUAUGCCACUGACGUGGGUAAAGCUAAAGCAACAGUAGUAUUUAUAUCAUUCGUGGGCGCAGCUAACUCCCCAUGAGGUAACUGUAUGAUUUUCCAAGGUAAAAGAGCACCUGACCAAUUAGAAACAAAAAUAAAUAGGAACAUAGUUCCAAUAAAGGGAACCCAAGGUCCAUAUUCUUCUCCAAUCUGGGUUUUGCUCAAGUCUCGAAUAAAUUCAAGGACAUAUUCAAAGAAAUUCUGACCGUCGGUCGGAAUGGUUUGUGGAUUCCGAACAGCUAUGAUGACUGAACCUAACAAGAUAGCAAUUACGACCCAAGAAGUGAUAAGUACUUGGGCAUGGAUUUGUAAACCUCCUAUUUGCCAAUAGAAAUGUUGGCCUACUUCUACACCCGAUAUAUCAUAUAACCCCUUGAGUGUUUUAAUGUAACAUGGUAUAACAUUCAUAUUGUCCUCUGAUAGAAAUUGAACUUCAAAAAAGGAAUUAGUUUGAUUCAACCAUUUCUUUCUCAACUCACCAACUUGAAUCAUUAAUCAUAUAUUUAGGAUACCAAGAAAUCACAUAACAUCAUAAUAUAUAUCAAUAUCCCCAGUUCUUUUUUUUUUAUCUAUUUUGUUAAAUGCAAAAUAGAUAAAAAAGUAACCGAUCCAAUAAAUCUAUGGAGUUGCCCAAUAAUUAACAUUAACUAAUCUUAUUAUUCUUAAUCUUAAUCAUAAUCAACGAUUUCUUAUAUAGCUAGAACGACCCUCACAAAUUGCGGAUACUAAUUUGUUAAGAAUCAAUCGAAUUGAAGCUAUAGCGUCAUCGUUGGCCGGAAUCGAAAUAUCUGCAAGAUCUGGGUCACAAUUUGUAUCGAUUAAACAAAUCGUCGGAAUCCCCAAAAUGGCACAUUCUCGAAGAGCCGUAUAUUCUUCUUGCUGAUCAACGAUGAUCACAAUAUCAGGCAAUCCCGUCAUAUAUUUGAUCCCACCGAGAUAUGUUUGCAAGGUAGAUAAUUUUCUCUUCAACAUUGCUGCAUCUCUUUUGGGGAGACGGUUGAGUUUCCCCAUCUUUUCUUCUGCUCUUAAGUCCCUGAACUUAUAAAGUCUCGUUUCCGUAGUGGACCAAUUCGUUAACGUACCACCGAGCCAUUUUUGAUUAAUAAAAUGAGACCGAGCCCUUAUUGCAGCUGAUGCUACUGAAUCCGAUGCUUUAUUUUUGGUACCGACGAUUAAGAAGCUUUUUCCCCUACUUGAUGCAUCAAAAACUAAAUCACAGGCUUCUGAUAAAAAACGAGCAGUUCUAGCGAGAUUUGUAAUAUGAAUACCUUUACGCUUUGCAGAGAUGUAAGGGGCCAUUCUAGGAUUCCAUUUCUUAGUACCAUGACCAAAAUGAACUCCUGCUUCCAUCAUCUCUUCCAAAUUGAUGUUCCAAUAUCUUCUUGUCAUUUUUUCCCACACUUCCUUUUUGUUUUUUCUUUUUCUUAUUAUUAACAAAGAGACGAGGUACCUUGAAAUAAAUAAUUGUUCCGAUGGAACCUUCUACCGGGGAUUGACCAUCGAUACACGGCACAUAAAUUUUUUUAAUUACUUAUUUUAUUUAUUACUAAAUCAAUAAUCAGACCAGUAUAGUUAAAAGAUAGUUAAAGUUAAAAUGAAUCCGCUCUUAGGAAUCAUUAAAUCGCAUAAAUGAUUGUUCUGAUGUCUCAUGUAAAUUUGUCUCAUGGAAAUUGUUUGUCGCGCAAGAACAAAAUAAUUCUCUAUGGUGUAACAAAAUAUCUCUCAUUUCCAACUCGAAUAGAUUUUUUCUUUUGAUUUCCAAAUAAAUGUUUUUGUCUUGCCUUGAACGGUGCACAAAUUUUUGGAAUCCGGUACCAACAGGUAUAAUCCCCCCCAGAACAACGUUCUCUUUCAGGCCUUUCAACCAAUCAAUACGACCUCGUAGAGCAGCUUUUGCUAAAACUCGAGCGGUUUCUUGAAAACUUGCUUCGGAUAUGAAACUUUGAGUAUUCAGAGACGCUCUUGUUAUUCCCAAUAAGAUUGCCCGAUAACAGAUCGAUUCGUCCAAAGCACGCCCUGCUCGUUCCGCUCGCAACAAUCCGAUUAAUUCUCCAGGCGAAAAAACAUUAGACAUUCCAUCUUCUGAAACCAACACUUUUGAUGUUACUUGACGUACAAUAAUCUCUAUAUGUCUAUUAUGGAUCUGUACCCCCUGGGAUCGAUAAACCUUUUGGAUCUUAUUAACCAAAGAGAUACAACUUUGGGCUAUGGUUAGCUCAGCUCCAAUCAAAAACCCCCAGGGGAUCCCAAGAAUUCUUGGUAUGCGUUCGUUCCAACCUUCAACUCUCCUUUCGAGGUUCAUCGAUAGUGAAUCAAUCGAACGCACUUCUAAGAUUUGUUCUACUUUUGGAAGACCUUGCGUUAUGUCACCAGAUCUCGAUUUUUCAUAUAUAAAUGUAACUAAUGUAUCUCCUUCGUAAAGGAUUUUCCCAUAAUGACCAUGAACAGUUGCUCCAGGAGUAGCCAAAUAAGGCUUAGCUGAUCUUAUAACUAAAGAGUCGACAUUAACAAUUAAAAUUUGACCAGAUUUUUUUACGUGUGGUUCGUAUUUAAAUAGACAUACAUUUUCACAAAUAAAUUGUCCAAGGCUAAUUUUGGUCGAUGUCUCUUCACAAUAAUCAUGAUGGAAAAAGCACCAAUUCAAAUGGAAUGGGUUCAAAAUGAUGUUACUGCAUGGAUCGGGAUUAUAAAUCCUCCUAUUUUCAUCUAUUAAACAGUAUUUAAGUACUUGAAGUACUUGGAAAAUCUGUUUCAAAUUGUCAAGUAGCAAAUAUUUCUUUAACACGAUCUGAUUAUGAGUUAUUAAAUGGUAAGAUGAAUAAAAAUUCGCUAUUUUAGGUACAAUAGCGCCUAAGAGACCUAAAGAAUCCCUAAUUGGAAUUAGGGGAUCCGAUUCUUUUGUCAAAUUGUUAUAUUUCGAACUAUUGAAUGGACCAAUUCGAGAACAAUUGGAUGAUGACAAAAUUAUCAAAGAUUGGCAUUCCUUAUUUCGAUUCAACAACGUACCAAUAGUUCCUUGAUGUUGGCUAAGUGAUUGAAUCUUCGCCUUGGAAUAAAAGGGAUUGAUAUUGGUGCGAUCUAAUCCAUUAUCGGGAAUCAAUCCGGAACUUGCCCUAUCAUACCUUUUUCCGGUAUACGAAAUAGUGGACUUGACUAACUCAAUUCUUAUGAAAUCGCGAAUUAGAUCAUUUGCCCUUACCUCAACAAAGGAAGCAUGAACCUCUUCUAUAAAACCAUUUUGUUCUUGGUCCCAAUUCAAUACUAAGCAAGUCCGAACUAAUUGAAUACUUGUGUGAUAAAUUCCUCGAAUUGACUUGCCAUUUCCAUAAAGGAUAUAAUUGACAACUCUAAGUUGGACAUUAUCCUUUUCCUGCAAGAUAUCCCGAGGGAAAAGUGUUGCUAAAUUUAUCCCAUCGGAUAUUUCAUAUGUGACUACGGGUCGAACCGAAACAAAAUACUUUUUCUUGGUAGGUGUGAUCCGUUGAACAUAGAUCCAAUUUUUCCAUUUUUUUGAUUCUUUAGAAUUUUUUUUUUCCGUUUCUGGUGGUAUAAAAAUGCCGCUGUGCCUGGAUAUCUUAUCUGUCUCUCCAGGAAAAUGAAUAUCUCCAGAAAAGAUUUUAAGUUCAAUAUAUUUUUUUUUUCUCUCCACUCGGACUAAUCCGCGUACUCGGCUUCUUGUAUUUAUAUUUAAAGCGAGUCGUGUAUCUACUCCAAUGAUACUAUUGUUCCGGACCAUUAUUAAUGAGGAUCCCGGUAAGAUAUGCACUUCUUCGAGAAUGAAAAAAAACUGAUCUACUUCCGUUUGGUAUUUCGGACUAAAUUCUUUUGCUCCUCGAUACUCAAUCAAAUCUUCUUUUUUUAUGAUUGAAUCCACCUCUAUGGUCCCAUAUUUAGUAAUUCCGGAACUGCUUCUUCUGUAUCGUGGAUCAUCAAAAUAAGCAAGAAUACUAUUUCUACGUAAAAUACCAUUUAUGGGUAUUUCAAUCGAAAUACCAAAACAGGGUAUUAGUUCUUUCUCUCGUUCUUGAUCAUAUUGUAAUGGGAUGAUGAAUCUAUUUCUUCGCUUUUUCGCCAAGAAAUCAGGAUUCUCUUGGAGAAUAGAAGGAUAUAUGAAAUUCCAAUGACCAUUGGAUAUGAUUCGAUCAAGUCUUGAAUAGUCAAGAAUUUUCCUAUCUUUUUUACCAGAAGUAUCCAACAAUUUAUGUCUUACUUGAUCAUUAGUCAUUGAGGGGUUAGAGAUAUAUCUUCCUUCAACAGAAAGAGAAUAAACAUUCAUUUGAUCUUGAUCCUUGUGGAGCGAAAAAGACACUAUACUGGAUCUGCACGGACCUCCUGCUAAUAUCCAUAAAUGACUUGUUUUUGGUAAUAGAUGAACAUUACCAUAUGUAUAUUCAGGUGCAUGGUAGACAUCGGUACUCCAGUGCAUUUCUCCCUCUGAUUCAGAAUAAAUAUGUUUUCGUACCCUCUCUUUAAAAUGAAAAGUAGACGUUCCAGCACGAAUCUCAGCAAUCACUUGUUCUGAUUCUACAUAUUGAUCAUUUUGAACUAAAAUCAAACUUUUUGGCGGAAUAGUCACAUUAUGUAUAAUAUCCCGACUCUCAAUAGUUACAUACAAGUCUAUAGAACAUAGAAAAGCGGGAUGCCCAUGACGGGUACGUGUGGGAUGAACCAAAUCCUCAUUGAAUUUUAUUUUUCCAUUAGAAGGAGCUCGUACAUGUUCUGCAGUACCGCCUGUGAAUACUCCGCCGGUAUGAAAAGUUCUUAAUGUUAGUUGAGUCCCCGGUUCCCCAAUUGAUUGACCCGCAAUAAUACCUACGGCUUCUCCCAAUUCGACCAGAUCGCCAUGAGUGGGACUCCGACCAUAACAUAAUUGACAGAUCCAAGAUGUACUCCUGCAAGUAAAGGGGGUUCGAAUAUAUAUUGGUUGUGCUCGAAAGGUUAUGAAUCGAUUGACAAGUCCAAUCCCAAUAUCUUGAUUUCGAGUGGCAAUGCAUCGUAGACCGAUAUAUAUAUCGUCUGCUAAUACACGACCAAUUAGUGUUUGGACAAAAAUCUUUUCCGUCAUCCCAUUUUGAGGACUCACGGAAAUACCUCGGAUAGUACCACAAUCUCUUCUACGUACAAUAAUGUGUUGAACUACUUCAACAAGUCUACGUGUAAGAUAUCCAGCAUCUGAUGUUCGUACAGCAGUAUCUACAACUCCUUUGCGGGCUCCGUAGCAGGAAAUUAUAUAUUCUGUCAAAGAAAGUCCCUCGCGUAAAUUGCUUUGAAUGGGUAAAUCAAUCAUUUGUCCUUGGGGAUCUGACAUUAAUCCUCUCAUACCUACUAAUUGGUGUAUCUGAGAUGCAUUUCCCCUUGCUCCUGAAAAAGACAUUAGAUAGACUGGAUUAGAGGGAUCAGUCAUCCGAAAAUUAGGAUUCAUUUCUUGUCUCAAAUAUUCACUUGUAGCAUACCAUAUCUCAAUAGAUUGACGUAAUUUUUCUACCGCGUGUACAUUCCCAUAAUGAUGGUGUUUCUCCAAAAUAAAACUUUGUUGUUCAGCGUCUUGGACUAACCAUCCCUUAGAAGGUAUUGUUAAAAGAUCAUCAAUUCCUAAUGAAAUAGAUGUAGCAGUGGCUUGAUGGAAACCCAAAGUCUUUACUUGAUCCAGGAUAUGUGAUGUAUAUCCCAUUCCGAAAUGAUCUAUUAAUCUGCUAAUAAGUCGUUUCAUAGCAGUUCCAUUUAUCACUUUAUUGUGAAAGACCAGAUCGGCCCGUUCUGCCAUAAGUACCUCUAUAUUCUGCUGAGUAGGAUUCGACAAUGGGCCUGAGUCAGUGAUUCGAAAACUUAACUUUCUUUCCUCAAUCUCAAUCUUGAUUCACGCAGAAAUUCAGAAAUUAUGAUACUAGUAAAAUUGGAAAAACCCGAAUUCCAGGCAUCGCCUAAUCGAAUUUCUUAGUUUAGAUAGUGUAUGAGUAGGCCCGACAAAACCCUUGUAUGGCUUCUUCUAUUUCUCGAUAAAAAGAAAUAUGACCAAGAGUGGUUCGAAUGUAUAUACAACGGAUUUCUUUUUUUACACUUCCUACUAUUAGAUAGUGCCCAUAAAUCUCAUGAUAAGUACCCAAAGAUUCAUAUUGAACUUCGAUGGGAACUUCUCUUGACCCAAUGACACGUUGAUCUAGUCUCCAUCGGAGCCACAAAGGACUAUCUAAACUGAUUCGUUUCCGCCGAUAAGCUCCAAGUGCAUCAUAGGAACUACAAAAAUACGGUUCUUUCUCUUUCGUAUACUUAUAAUUAUUAUUGUCAACUGUUUGAUUUUGAUAGUUUCUGCAAUUAUAUGGAUUAUACAUAUUUGCACAAAUACCUCGACGAUUCCCGAUCGUUAAUACAUAGAGUCCGAUAAGUAUAUCUUGGGUUGGUACGGAAAU
rnacentral:lncRNA from 1 species